CCCGCACAAGCGGUGGAGCAUGUAGUUUAAUUCGACGCAACGCGAAGAACCUUACCUGGGUUUGACAUCCCGAUCGUACUCUAUGGAAACAUAGGGGUCAGUUCGGCUGGAUCGGUGACAGGUGCUGCAUGGCUGUCGUCAGCUCGUGUCGUGAGAUGUUGGGUUAAGUCCCGCAACGAGCGCAACCCUUGUCCUUAGUUGCCACCAUUCAGUUGGGCACUCUAAGGAGACUGCCGGUGUUAAACCGGAGGAAGGUGGGAUGACGUCAAAGUCCUCAUGGCCCUUAUAUCCAGGGCUACACACGUGCUACAAUGGCCGGUACAAAGGGCAGCCACUCAGCGAUGAGGCGCUAAUCCCAUAAAGCCGGUCUCAGUCCGGAUCGCAGUCUGCAACUCGACUGCGUGAAGUUGGAAUCGCUAGUAAUCGUAGAUCAGCAUGCUACGGUGAAUACGUUCCCGGGCCUU
rnacentral:rRNA from 1 species